AAAAAGAUAUUAAAUAAAUCUCGCUCACUUUUGCAAAAGGUCCUAUGUACAUAAGAAACCCAUGGCGCAAUGUUUGUUUUGAAAAAUUUAUCUAGAAAUCAGGAUCAUAAAUAAAACGAACGAACCAUGACAUUAAAACUUUGCAGCCGACGCUCAUGAAACGAACGCACCAUGAUACCGAAUCUGUGCAGCCGACGCUCAUGAAACGAACGCACUAUGGUUGAGCGAGCUGUCAACUUUUUCAAUCGCGCGUGUUCAAUCCUGAAUGUGUUGGCAGCAGUUUGCGUGCGCGUGUGCUUGUAAAAAACAACUUCCGGCGUCAAAUCCGCCGGGGGACCGAACCAGAACAGCUCCAGGAUGGCAGAAUUUUAAUAUUUGGGGACUUCUUCCAAUUUACGGGAUUCAACGCUACGGACGGAGGCGCUCGAUUGGGAAAAGGAGGCCCAGGGCCAGCUGCUGACUUUCCCGGCCGCCGUCAAGGUGUAGCCUUCUAGACGGAGCACAACACGCAAGGUGCUGAACGCGUUCCCGCGGUGUUGGUUGGAUAGUUCUGCCGAGUGAUGAACUCAGGGACUUUCUUGAUCCUGUAUUAGGUGUGAGCCAAGUAAUGCUGCAGGGGAGUUUCAGUUCGGCCGCAAUCAUCCGAAGACAGAGGAACACCAUCGCCCAUGGGUCACUUGAUCACCAAUAGAACACUCCCAGCACAAACAGGCUGCUUGUUUGAAUCACCGAAUCGAUCUGGCGUUUGCUGGCGGUGCGCUACUACAGAUGCAGAAGGAGUGCGAAAAGGGUAGAAGGAGUUCGUGUGAAGAUUCAGCAUGCAAAAGGUCAAAAUCAACCGUAAGCGAACGUGGCAUCUUCAGGGACGGGGGAAGGAUUGCCGUGGCGGAGGAAAAUUUAAGAAACCAUGAUUUGUCACACACACACACACACACACAUACAAACGUACACAGCUUUCUGGGCCAGCAAAAAAAGUACAGAAUAAUUUAGUGAAGAGAAAAAAAUUAAUAAAAUGAAAAUACAAUGGAA
rnacentral:lncRNA from 1 species